UACGUAGGGGGCGAGCGUUGUCCGGAAUUAUUGGGCGUAAAGAGCUCGUAGGCGGUUCGGCAAGUCACGUGUGAAAUCUCCACGCUCAACGUGGAGGCGCCACGUGAGACUGCUGUGACUCGAGUCCGGUAGGGGAGCGUGGAAUUCCCGGUGUAGCGGUGAAAUGCGCAGAGAUCGGGAGGAACACCCGUAGCGAAGGCGGCGCUCUGGGCCGGUACUGACGCUGGAGGAGCGAAAGCGUGGGGAGCAAACAGG
rnacentral:rRNA from 1 species